rnacentral:rRNA from 1 species
CGUGUCGGCGGUUUGCUAAGUCACUUGUAAAAGAGCUCGGCUUAACCGAGCAAAUGCAGGUGAAACUGGUGAACUAGAGUACGGGAGAGAAAGGUAGAAUUCUCGGAGUAGCGGUAAAAUGCGUAGAUCUCGAGAGGAAUACCGGUUGCGAAGGCGGCCUUUUGGCCCGUAACUGACGCUUAAGCGCGAAAGCGUGGGGAGCAAACA